rnacentral:rRNA from 1 species
CGCGUAGGUGGUUUGUUAAGUUGGAUGUGAAAGCCUCGGGCUCAACCUGGGAACUGCAUCCAAAACUGGCAAGCUAGAGUACGGUAGAGGGUGGUGGAGUUUCCUGUGUAGCGGUGAAAUGCGUAGAUAUAGGAAGGAACACCAGUGGCGAAGGCGACCACCUGGACUGAUACUGACACUGAGGUGCGAAAGCGUGGGGAGCAAACA